CUUGAUGAGCCCUUAUAAGCACUUCUCCCCUGCACAACAUGGAAAAAGGAACGAACUUUAUCAAACAUUACAAUACCUAUUUCUAUUACCACAAAUUAAAAGGCAGAAAGCACUAAUUCACAAUCCUCAAAACCAGAAAAACAAAAAAUUUAAGUUAAAUGUUCUAACUUCUAAAACGCGUCAAUCUUUUUUGAAAGGACUAACAAGGAAAUAACACCAAAGGGAGGGAGUUCAGUUUUUGUCAACAACUACCACCAAAAUUGCCUAAUUUCCAUUUCCAAGACAGCUUUUUGCACACAGAAAUAUUCAUAUAUUACAAAAUAAAAGAAACCCCACAAACUGAAACUGGAUAAAAUCCAAAUAAACAACAAAAUUAAACGAAAUUAUGUGAAAGACGGAGAGAAAAGGAGACUAACAGAAUCCCAUUGAGUGCGUCUUCUGCGUUCCAAGAUUGGGGAAGAAUGAAAAAGAGAGGCCUUUAGUUGAAAUGGGUUGGCCUGAGAAUUGAUUAACGCUGCUGUUUUCGUGGCCUUAUUCAUUGGCGGAAAUUCAUGUAAACAGGAAACAAGGCUGACUGACUGGUGAAUUGAAUUUUGAUUUGAGUAGUAAACUCAGGGAAAAGACUGGUGCUGGG
rnacentral:lncRNA from 1 species